rnacentral:rRNA from 1 species
AUGCUUGUAGAUCAUGAAAAGAAUGCUUUAGGUGCUGCUUAUAUUGUUGAAUUCAUUCAUGAUGCUACUGAACAUUAUUAUGAGGGAGAAAUAUAUGCUUGUAGGAAUUGCAAUAAUAUCAAGUUUCCUCUCUAUGUGCUUCAAGUUUUGAAGCUAUGCUUGUUUUACCUUCCUAUGCUAGUUGAUUCUUGUUCCCAUAAAUUGUUUGCUCACAAAAUCCCUAUGCAUAGGAAGUGGGUUAGACUUAAAUGUGCUAGUCAUAUGCUUCAUGAUGCUCCCGUUAUGUUUCAAUUCUUAUCUUUUAUGUGA